CGACGUCCAGAGAACUUAGCAGAGAUGCUUUGGUGCCUUCGGGAACUCUGAGACAGGUGCUGCAUGGCUGUCGUCAGCUCGUGUUGUGAAAUGUUCGGGUUAAGUCCCGCAACGAGCGCAACCCUUAUCCUUUGUUGCCAGCGGCUCGGCCGGGAACUCAAAGGAGACUGCCGGUGAUAAACCGGAGGAAGGUGGGGAUGACGUCAAGUCAUCAUGGCCCUUACGGCCAGGGCUACACACGUGCUACAAUGGCGCAUACAAAGAGAAGCGACCUCGCGAGAGCAAGCGGACCUCACAAAGUGCGUCGUAGUCCGGAUUGGAGUCUGCAACUCGACUCCAUGAAGUCGGAAUCGCUAGUAAUCGUAGAUCAGAAUGCUACGGUGAAUACGUUCCCGGGCCUUGUACACACCGCCCGUCACACCAUGGGAGUGGGUUGCAAAAGAAGUAGGUAGCUUAACCUUCGGGAGGGCGCUUACCACUUUGUGAUUCAUGACUGGGGUGAAGUCGUAACAAGGUAAGCGUAGCGAG
rnacentral:rRNA from 1 species